CUUUCUUGUAGAUAUGACAUGACUAUUGCACCUGAGAACUCACAGCAAUUACCUGCACAAGACUAACCCCAUCAACAUUCAAUCACAAAUGGGAGGAGCUCAUGAGACUGCACCUUUCCCUGAAAAAGUAUAGGCACUUAAUGGUUCCUGGGGGAGGAGCAAUCGUUCCUGUGUGGUGACACUUGCAAUCUGACAGCAAGAUCUUCCAACAGGCAGAGUGGAUCACAAAUCAUUAGGUGGGAGGAAAGCAUGUCACCAGAGAUUUCCUUUGAAUUAGCCUUUGCAGUCAGUGACAAGUCCCUUAAUACCCCUGGAGCUACAGUGUCUUUAUCUAUCAAAGAAGUUUACUCCAGC
rnacentral:lncRNA from 1 species